GGAAGCCGCUUCUCCUCCGCCACCACCGCUGCUGCCACCGAGCUGUGCCACCGCCGGGCGGGGAAGCGGCAGCGUGGGGAUGGCCGUGUCAGCGCGCAGGAGCCGGCGGCUGCUGAGGUGCUGAAGUCCAGUGCGGACACUAACAUCUCCUUGGUUUAGCCAUUUUGAGAUUGAGAAUGGCAGAUUUCUCUUCCUUUGGAUAGUAGAUGUUUCAUGCUGAAAAUACAGUAAGGCUCUUGGAGUGUCAGGACGAAAUCAGAAAUGGACCAUACUCUAAAAGAAUGAAGUUAACG